AUUGAACGCUGGCGGCAGGCUUAACACAUGCAAGUCGAGCGGGGGAAGGUGCUUCGGAACUGACCUUAGCGGCGGACGGGUGAGUAAUGCUUAGGAAUCUGCCUAUUAGUGGGGGACAACAUCUCGAAAGGGAUGCUAAUACCGCAUACGUCCUACGGGAGAAAGCAGGGGAUCACUUGUGACCUUGCGCUAAUAGAUGAGCCUAAGUCGGAUUAGCUAGUUGGUGGGGUAAAGGCCUACCAAGGCGACGAUCUGUAGCGGGUCUGAGAGGAUGAUCCGCCACACUGGGACUGAGACACAGCCCAGACUCCUACGGGAGGCAGCAGUGGGGAAUAUUGGACAAUGGGGGGAACCCUGAUCCAGCCAUGCCGCGUGUGUGAAAAAGGCCUUAUGGUUGUAAAGCACUUUAAGCGAGGAGGAGGCUCUUUUGGUUAAUACCCAAGAUGAGUGGACGUUACUCGCAGAAUAAGCACCGGCUAACUCUGUGCCAGCAGCCGCCGUAAGAC
rnacentral:rRNA from 1 species